GCCACUUUAGCUCAGCGGUAGAGCAACGGUUUUGUAAACCGUCGGUCGUUGGUUCAAUUCCGACAAGUGGCU
rnacentral:tRNA from 2 species